AUGAGCAAAUCUUCAAAAAUUGUUGAUGCAAUGAAGACUCUUCUGCUAGAAACUAAGAAGGAAGUGAGUUCUGGUUCAAAGAGAGUAUUGUCCAACACUGUAACAAAUGUUGAAACAUGUAUUGGAACAUCCAGAACAAGGAAUACAUAUGUAACAAAGAUGAAGUCCCUCAAGAAGAAUCAUGUCAAGCUACAUGACUCAGACUCAGAUGCUGAUGAAGAUUGGGUCAAUUUCAUUAACUCAGAAGGUUGUGUUGGAUAG